AUAACAAUACAGGCCCUGUAAUUGGAAUGAGUCCACUUUAAAUCCUUUAACGAGGAUCUAUUGGAGGGCAAGUCUGGUGCAGAGCGACUGACCUGUGCAUGCUGCAGCUGAAA